rnacentral:rRNA from 1 species
UACGUAGGGUGCAAGCGUUGUCCGGAAUUAUUGGGCGUAAAGAGCUCGUAGGCGGUCUGUCACGUCGGAUGUGAAAACUCGGGGCUCAACCCCGAGCCUGCAUACGAUACGGGCAGACUUGAGUUCGGCAGGGGAGACUGGAAUUCCUGGUGUAGCGGUGAAAUGCGCAGAUAUCAGGAGGAACACCGGUGGCGAAGGCGGGUCUCUGGGCCGAUACUGACGCUGAGGAGCGAGAGCGUGGGAGCGAACCGG